rnacentral:rRNA from 1 species
ACUCCUACGGGAGGCAGCAGUGGGGAAUAUUGGACAAUGGGCGCAAGCCUGAUCCAGCCAUGCCGCGUGAGUGAUGAAGGCCCUAGGGUUGUAAAGCUCUUUCACCGGUGAAGAUAAUGACGGUAACCGGAGAAGAAGCCCCGGCUAACUUCGUGCCAGCAGCCGCGGUAAUACGAAGGGGGCUAGCGUUGUUCGGAUUUACUGGGCGUAAAGCGCACGUAGGCGGACUAUUAAGUCAGGGGUGAAAUCCCGGGGCUCAACCCCGGAACUGCCUUUGAUACUGGUAGUCUUGAGUUCGAGAGAAGUGAGUGGAAUUCCGAGUGUAGAGGUGAAAUUCGUAGAUAUUCGGAGGAACACCAGUGGCGAAGGCGGCUCACUGGCUCGAUACUGACGCUGAGGUGCGAAAGCGUGGGGAGCAAACAGGAUUAGAAACCCCUGUAGUCCCAUG